rnacentral:tRNA from 1 species
GCCGACGUAGCUCAACGGCAGAGCAGCUGAUUUGUAAUCAGCAGGUUGGGGGUUCAAAUCCCUUCGUCGGCUCCA